GACGAACGCUGGCGGCGUGCUUAACACAUGCAAGUCGAACGGAAAGGCCCUGCUUUUGUGGGGUGCUCGAGUGGCGAACGGGUGAGUAACACGUGAGUAACCUGCCCUUGACUUUGGGAUAACUUCAGGAAACUGGGGCUAAUACCGGAUAGGAGCUCCUGCUGCAUGGUGGGGGUUGGAAAGUUUCGGCGGUUGGGGAUGGACUCGCGGCUUAUCAGCUUGUUGGUGGGGUAGUGGCUUACCAAGGCUUUGACGGGUAGCCGGCCUGGGAGGGUGACCGGCCACAUUGGGACUGAGGGACGGCCCAGACUCCUACGGGAGGCAGCAGGGGGGAAUAUUGCACAAUGGGCGGAAGCCUGAUGCAGAAACGCCGCGGGCGGGAUGACGGCCUUCGGGUUGUAAACCGCUUUCGCCUGUGACGAAGCGGGAGUGACGGUAAUGGGUAAAGAAGCACCGGCUAACUACGUG
rnacentral:rRNA from 1 species